UACGGGGGGGGCAAGCGUUGUUCGGAAUUACUGGGCGUAAAGGGCUCGUAGGCGGCCAACUAAGUCCGACGUGAAAUCCCCAGGCUUAACCUGGGAACUGCGUCGGAUACUGGAUGGCUUGAAUUCGGGAGAGGGAUGCAGAAUUCCAGGUGUAGCGGUGAAAUGCGUAGAUAUCUGGAGGAAUACCGGAGGCGAAGGCGGCCAUCUGGUCCGCUACUGACGCUGAGAUACGAAAGCGUGGGGAUCAAACAGG
rnacentral:rRNA from 1 species